rnacentral:rRNA from 1 species
GACGAACGCUGGCGGCAUGCCUAACACAUGCAAGUCGAACGAAACCUUCGGGUCUUUUGGCGCACGGGUUCGUAACGCGUGGGAAGCUUCCCUUAGGUUCGGAAUAACUCCCCGAAAGGGGUGCUAAUACCGGAUAAUGUCUUCGGACCAAAGAUUUAUUGCCUUUGGAUGGGCCCUCGUUGGAUUCGCUAGUUGGUAGGGUAAUAGCAUACCAAGGCGACGAUCCAUAGCUGGUCUGAGAGGAUGAUCAGCCACACUGGGACUGAGACACGGCACAGACUCUUACGGGAGGGAGGAGUGGGGAAUAUUGGAAAAUGGGCGAAAGGAUGAUGCAGCAAUGCCGCGUGAGUGAUGAAGGCAUUAGGGUUGUAAAGCUCUUUUAACCGGGAUGAUAAUGACAGUACCGGGAGAAUAAGCUCCGGCUAACUACGUG